rnacentral:rRNA from 1 species
UCGAGAAUUUUUCUCAAUGGGCGAAAGCCUGAAGGAGCGACGCCGCGUGGGGGAUGAAUGGCUUCGGCCCGUAAACCCCUGUCAUUUGCGAACAAAUUGACUCACUUAACACGUGUGUCAUUGAUUGUAGCGGAAGAGGAAGGGACGGCUAACUCUGUGCCAGCAGCCGCGGUAAUACAGAGGUCCCAAGCGUUGUUCGGAUUUACUGGGCGUAAAGGGUGCGUAGGCGGUUGUUUAAGUCUGACGUGAAAUCUCCGGGCCUAACCCGGAAACUGCGUUGGAUACUAUUCAACUAGAGGAAUGGAGGGGAGACUGGAAUACUUGGUGUAGCAGUGAAAUGCGUAGAUAUCAAGUGGAACACCAGUGGCGAAGGCGAGUCUCUGGACAUUUCCUGACGCUGAGGCACGAAAGCCAGGGGAGCAAAC